AUUUAAAACGCUGAAAAGACCAUUUAGUGAUAAUACUGAUAAUGAAAAGCGAUAUUUACUGCGGUUGCAUGAUAUUUAAUAUUAAAAUAGUAUUGGAUGUGGUAGAAUGUAGACUCUUUGUAUAAUUACCAGUUAAACAGUGAAGCCUUUAGAUCAAUUUUCCGAUUCAAUCAUUUCUACUGUUCACAGUUCUGUGUUUGUGUUUGCUUUUGAGUAGGUAUUUCAUUUUCUUGACAACGAAAAUGUUCGGUGUGGAAGGAAUUAAUAAGUGCGUGGAAUGCGGAAAAGUGUAUAAACGUAAACAUGAUUUAAAAAGACAUGUAAAAAGUUCGCAUCCCGACAAAUUGGAUGCAAUUGCCCCUUUAGUGCUUAAAGGCAACGUCUGUAUGUGCACACAUUGUGAUAAACAAUUUAGAUAAGUCAAGUUUAAACUUUCAUGUCAAACAAAUGCACACAAAUGUACCAGUUUCUGCUUCGGUUUCUGCAGAAACUAAAACAUUUCAACAUAAAUGUUCUCUGUGUAAUUAUCAUGCAACUUUUAAAAAGGAGUAUUUUUUGAAUAAUAAACAGGGUCCGUUUCCCAAUUCAAGUUUAUAUAGGCAACACAAAUUACACGCCGCUAAUCCUCGGGUCAGGAUCUAGAAUCGAGUGUGAUUGUUUUCUUCUGUAAAUGUUAACCUAACUAAAACCGAAAAGUCGGAAAACAUAAAAAAUUAUUCAACAGAUAAGAUAAGAAUAAUUAUCUCAUAUUAUACCAUAUAGAAUAUGGGUUAUAAUUUUGGGUCGAAUAAUCAACAGAAUGUUGCAGGUGGACUGGACACACUGUCCAAAUUGAUGAAUGUGUAUUCACAAAGAGGUGGAGAGUAACCCUGGUGGAGUGGUAAAAGAACAAUGGGUUUUAGGAAUAUAUAUUGUUCUAAAAAGGGUGUAGGUAUGUAACAUAUAAAAAAUAGAAAAGACGAGAUAUUAGUGGGGAUCAUAAAAAACAUGUUGAGGAAGGUAUUUAGAUUUGGACAGACCAGUGGAAAGGUUAUUCCAAUUUAAAAACCUGUGGCUAUAUUCACAAAACUGUGAAUUAUAGCAAAUAUUUUAAGGAUCCACAAACAGGGGUCUGUACAAAUCAGGUAAAAGUUUAUUGAUCACAACUUAAACAAUACCUUAGAAGACAUGGAGUGGUGAGUUCCCCAUUUCUACCUUAAUAUAUUGAUCAGUUUAUGUGGGAUUAAUUAUAUGGACGUAAUGCACAUGAUAGGUUUAAGAAUAUAGUAGAAUGUAUUAGCCAGAAAUAUAACUGAUUAUUAUAUGCAGUAGAACCCCGAUCAUCUGUGCAUGAUUUUUUUGAAAGGUCACCAGACUUGGAGAGUUGUAAGCAGAAGAAGAGUACCUUAACUAGGAAAAGCGGGAUUUGAAAAGGAAGAAGCCCUGUUAAAUUUGCAGAUAAAAGUUUUAUUUAACCUUUUCAAAAGAUAGUUGUAGGGAGUUUUGAAAAGUUAUCUGUUUGUGAAUAGAAACAGUUUUCUGAUUUGAUUACUAGAAUAGAGAAAUAAGUUAGGAACAUAAUAUGAUCUGUAUGUUUUUUGGAUUGUUAUAAUUUAUAUAUUUUUUGAUCUGUUAGAAAAUUUUAUUCAUUUUAUAUACCUAGCAGGUAUAUUAAUUUGGGUUGAUACAUUACAUUGACUAAUUUUAAAUUUGAUAAUUUUAUUGAUCUUAUUUUGAUACAAUAUAUGGAUGAAAUUUAUAU
rnacentral:lncRNA from 1 species